rnacentral:rRNA from 1 species
GAUGAACGCUGGCGGCGUGCCUAAUACAUGCAAGUCGAGCGAACAGACGAGGAGCUUGCUCCUCUGACGUUAGCGGCGGACGGGUGAGUAACACGUGGAUAACCUACCUAUAAGACUGGGAUAACUUCGGGAAACCGGAGCUAAUACCGGAUAAUAUAUUGAACCGCAUGGUUCAAUAGUGAAAGACGGUUUUGCUGUCACUUAUAGAUGGAUCCGCGCCGCAUUAGCUAGUUGGUAAGGCAACGGCUUACCAAGGCAACGAUGCGUAGCCGACCGGAGAGGGUGAUCGGCCACACUGGAACUGAGACACGGUCCAGACUCCUACGGGAGGCAGCAGUAGGGAAUCUUCCGCAAUGGGCGAAAGCCUGACGGAGCAACGCCGCGUGAGUGAUGAAGGUCUUCGGAUCGUAAAACUCUGUUAUUAGGGAAGAACAAAUGUGUAAGUAACUAUGCACGUCUUGACGGUACCUAAUCAGAAAGCCACGGCUAACUACGUG